GAGAUUGAGUGAGUGAGAUUGAGUGAGUUGUUCCUGCAUCAUCAUGUUCCUGGCUUUCCAUGUCAGAACUCCGUCAGCAUUCCGUGCAUGAGGACGAGGAGGAGCUGAUCCUCUCCCUUUCUUUUCUUUGCUUGGCUUCAUUCAUUUAUGGGUCAUCCUGUCUAAUCAUCAUCGCCUUGUCUUUGCGCUGCGCUGCUCUACUCUGCUGCUGCUGUUCCUUGGGAAGAGGUUUUUUUGUUGUUGUUGUUGUUCUUCUGUGGGGGAGAGGUGGGUUUGGUGUUGCGCCGACUCAUGUGCAGCAGCUCCUCGACAGCUCGUUUUCGACCUUUCGAAACGUGCACAAGAAAUCCAAUCUACAUGCAAGCGCUAGCGGUAGCGCAGCAUGUUAAUACUGUGGUUUUGAAAGUGCACUGUUCACUUCCAUUUCGAGUGUUAGGAGUUCAAUAUUUCAUUAGUAUGACGAGGCCCCCGAAAGCUCAGCCUUCCUUGCUGUUUCGGCAGCUGUUUGAGAAAGAGUCAUCAACUUACACUUACUUGCUGGCGGAUAAUGCACAUCCGGAUCGACCUGCUGUGCUAGUGGACCCUGUGGACAAGACCGCAGAGAGGGAUGCCGCGCUCGUGGAGCAGUUGGGUUUGAAGCUGUUGUAUGUUAUGAACACUCAUGUGCACGCAGAUCAUAUCACCGGCACCGGUAUUCUCAAAACUGCGAUGAGGUCUAGUGUUGAAAAGGAUUUUUUCAAGUCCGUCAAGGAUAUCAACAAAUUGCGACUUCGUUGUAAUUGACGCAGAACAAGAUUCCAGAAGUUCGAUCAGCUAUUUCUAGAGCAAGUGGUGCCAAGGCUGACUUGCACCUAAAUGCAGGGGAGAAAAUUUACUUCGGUAACCUGUAUCUCGAGGUGAGACCAACUCCAGGGCACACAAAAGGCUGCGUGACGUAUGUCACAGGAGAGGGUCCCGAUCAACCGAGUCCAAGAAUGGUAUUUACAGGAGAUGCUCUGCUUAUUCGAGGCUGCGGCCGCACAGACUUUCAGGGAGGGGAUGCAAGCCAGCUGUAUAAUUCGGUGCACUCGCAGGUGCUGCUACUUUCGCCAGGAUGCCUCAUCACGAACCAUACUUUGUGACGACGCAUCGCAGUAGCAUGAGACUUCGUUUUCAGUGAUAUUUCUGAUCUCUAAUGCUAUUUCGUAGUCUUUUCAUGCCAAAAAAGUUAUAUGAUUGGAUGCUAGAAUACGCUUGAUAUUAACUGCUUGCGGCCGCAGAUUUUUACUUUGCCGAAGGACACGCUUGUCUAUCCUGCACACGAUUACAAAGGGCACACUGUUUCUACUGUUGGAGAGGAGCUCAAGCUCAAUCCUCGACUUAGUAAAGAUGAGGAGGAGUUCAAGCGGAUAAUGAAAAACUUAGGAUUGCCCUAUCCGAAGAUGAUUGAUGUGGCAUUACCUUCCAACAUGGUGUGUGGUGUCCAAGACCCUGUGGCAACAUGAGCAGUUUAGGGAGCAGAUUCUGAUCCGUAUGAGAGCUGUUUGGCAGAUUGGACCAGUGUUGGCAAAUUACAUGUCCUCCAGAAAACCUGGUUCAGAAUUUGCCUCGGCCCACUGCUGGUAAGAUAUAAAAAUAUAAUCCUCAAUCCGGGAUUGGAAAAUAGGAAUACCACUAGCAGUUGCUCGACAAUCCAGCGACAAAAUCUUUCGUUCAUGCCAUCGAUAAAUGGCCAAUUGAAAUAGUUCAGGAAUUAUUACAUAAAAUGGUACGCUCGAUCUCUGAUCCGAUAUCACUGGCACUACUUGUGAAUAAAUACAUCUGAAUUACAACAAUUGCAAACUUCA